AUGCCAGCAUCAGGGGAUAUAUCCUCCUGCUCAUUCUAUCAUAAACAUCCUCUGAUCAAGAACUCCCUUAGGAAGACAGUUUUAGAAAAGAAUACACACAUAAACACAGACACACACACACACACAUGCACCCCUAUACAUAUAAUCCCUACCCUACUCCAAAACUCAAUGUUCAUAAAAAAAUGCAAUAUAUAUCUACAAGAAAAAGAAUUUCCUAUAGGAAAGAUCACACAAGAAAUGUCUUGUAAUGCUUUCUACUCCUAUGUCUUCUGAUGCAAAAAUAAACAAGUACAUAUCUGGAAGUUAAAGGGAAUUCUGGAUGCUUCUCAUGCCCAUACAGAGACCUUCUGAAGGUUGGUUGGGAAAGCCAAGGUCACAGCUGUACCUGGCAAAGAGCAAAGAUGUCAAAGAGGUCUGAAAAGGUUUCAGACAAAUGGUCAUUGAAAAUUAUUAGGGGAGAGGAAAUGCCAAAAAACAUGAUCAGCCUAAAACAUGAUGAAAGAGUUCAAUGAAAAUACAACAGUGAAUAAUUAAUAGUAACCCCCAAAUAAGAGAUAAAGAAUAAAACUGAACAGAUUACUUACCACCAUAAUUAAAAAUUAUUUAAAAUCCCCCUUGUAAAAAAACAAAAUCGAAGUGUCUGAUAAUGGUUUCAAACAAAACUUGGCAGUUUACCAAGGAUAUCUCAAAUACAAAAUGAUGAAGAAAUGUAGAAGAUAAAAGAAAAGGAAUGAAGUAUUAUGAAAAUAAAUAAAUAGUAGGCAAGAGUAGAAAUAAUCAAACAAGGAAAGUGAAUUUCAAAGCCAAAAGCACUAAAGAAGACAAACAGGAAUCUCAUAUCUAAUGAUAUUUUGAAUCACUGGACUACAGAACUUAUAAUACAUAUACUUAUACACAUAUACAUAUGUGUGGAGGGAAAGAGGGGGGGAGAGAUAUAAAGAGGGAGAGACUUAAUUUUCCUAAAGAGUUCCUUUAAUGGUGUAUUUGUGGUAGUUCUGUGUUGUCUUCAACAAAGAAGAUAACAAAUCUUGCUGUUAAACAAAUUCUACUACUUGUCCAUAAAAACUAAUACAGCUUCAAUGUUUCUUUAAAGCAGAAACUAAAAACUAAAAUUAUCCAUCAAAAUUGUUCACAGACUCAACAAAAAAUUAAGAAGUACUGAAGACUUAUAAUGAAAAAUAUUACUUACCUACUUCCUCACACUCCCAAUCCACCCUUACCCUAAUCCUGCUUUUCAGAUGCUCUUUUAACUAUUUUCUAGCAGUUUUAUAUUUUAAAUAUGUGUAGAGUAUCAUUUAAUAUUUAUUUUAGACACUAUCAUUGACUUUCUACUGUGAGGGAUGAAUAUGUGGUUUCCCUUGAUCCCCUCCCUCACCCAUCAGGCCUCUUCUGUACUUUCUCAAUAUUAUUCUGGUCAUAUUUUAGUUAAAAUUACCUUUAUAAGAUUAUGCUUUUGAGAAUAUUACUGUGUUAUAAUUUAAUUAUCUUCUUCCUUUUUAAAAUUAAUUUUAAUAUACUUUUCUGUUGCCCUUUGUUUUCUUUGUAUUAUCUUUCUAUUGUCUUGUCUCAUUUGAACAUUUAGAAAUGUUGAAACUUCACAUUUAGUACUUUAUUAAGUCUGAUCCUUGCAACCUCCUUCCUGAAAUAGG
rnacentral:lncRNA from 1 species